AUGUACCUUUCUUCUUUAACCACCUCUGAAAUGUGCACCUGUAUUAAGGGACUGCCAUCUUCUGUUGCAAAGAAUGAAUUUGGGGUCCUACAGCCUGCCGUGGAAUCAAAACCUCCUGUUGACACAGAGGAGGAUCCCACAGCGUCAUUUCAGGUACCUUCCAAGGGCCGUCCUGCUGCUUUAAGGAUGUGAGACUGACACUGGGAGAGAUCGAAGGAAUUGCUCCGUGGGAAGAGGAGCCUGGAGCCUGAUGGCAAGCCAAGCCCCUAUCAGCCACACCCUUGGAGCUGACAUGAAAGCUCACCCCACUUUUGAAAAUGGUUACUCCGUGUGAAAAUUAAAUUUGGUGGAUGUAACAUGACCAUUUAUCUCUGAUGCCUCCUUAACC
rnacentral:lncRNA from 1 species